AGUAAGACAAAUUCAGAUUUCAAGAGAUUCAAGAUGAACUAGGUUCGAAGAAUUAUACACUUUCGGAGCUAUGUUGCACAUAUAUGAUGACACCGCAAAUUUAAAAAAUAAGAGCACAGACACGGCAAUUAAAAUAUAAUAAAUUUAGAAUGUUGUUAGACUCAUCAUAGUGUCCUAUUUUCUCACUUACAUUAUAAUCUCACCCAUCAUAAAAGAUUUAAAAAUUGAAAUGUCAUUUCCCCACCCACCAUUAUUUCAAAAUAACCAAUAUUUAUUUAUUUAAAAUAACUCUAGCAUAUCUUUAAAUAAUAAUAAAAUAAAUAAAAAUAAAAAAUGAAGGAAAAUCUGAGACCCAAGACCUAGACCUUCAUCAUAUUCUUCAAAUCACGGCACCCCUUCCAUCGUAUUUCUUCCUACAGACAGAUCCAAAAUUCGUUGCCCGAUCUCUCUCCAUAUCCCCACCCUCUAUUUCCACCGAAUUCCAUAUAUAUGGCCCAAUACUCCCCCUCGACAAACCUCAGUACUCGCACCUAUUGUUGCCUCUCGCAGGGAUCCGAGAUCCCAAACCUUUCUUCUUCCUACCUUUUUUCCAACGCCGCAUAUCUUACCCCCAGGUCUCUCUUUCCUCCGUCGAAGUUUCUUGCCUCUGUCGAGCACACACCCAUUCCUUCCUCUUCUACCCCCAAUCUUUCCCUCAGCCUCUCUCCGCCCACAUCUUACACCCCUCCCACCAUUUUUUAUUUAUUAUUUUAAAUUACUUUUUGGUUUUUUCAAAAUUUUAGUAAUUAAUUAGAUUGGAGUUUCAAAGUCUUUUCUUAAAAGAUAAAUAUGUCAUUCAGGGUAUGGAUGUCAGCACCAUAAAUAUGUCCCUUCAGACUUGCUUUUACGUGUCAAUUUUCUACAUAAAUCCACUUUGGCCGCUUAAUCUUCCAUUUUGUUUUCGCUUCGUUUCUUCCUUCCACACUCACUCUCUCUCUCUCUCUCUCCCUCUCUCUGACCACUCGAUAAAUAUGUCAGACAGUUCGGGUGUCCGACACUCCGGGGUUUCAGGGUGUCCGAGGGUUUCGGGGUUUCGGAGUGUCCGUGCAGCAUAGCUUGACAGUCUCUAUAAUUGCUUAAAUUUCACUCGACAAGUGACUGCAGGUUGGUUUCCCUCCCAUGGACGUGUCCGCAUAAUCUCCUCGAGCGUCUUAUUAUCAGACGGAGUUGCUUGAACAACCUGGAGCGUCUUAUCAUCAGACGGAGUUGCCUGAGUUGCUGCUUGAACGGCCUGGAGCGUCUUAUCAUCAGACGGAGUUGCCUGAGUUGCCUGAACGGCCUGGAGCGUCUUAUCAUCAGACGGCGUUGCAUGAGCGGCCUUUUUAUUUGACUUUGUUUUCACCAUGACGCUGAAACAGGUACGUGUCAAAACCAAUCGGGACAAGCUUUUUAUAUAACUUAAUUGGAGUGUUAAAACAAUGACAGAUAGUCACAUACAACCAUCAAUCUAAGUCCUUGUAGUCAUAAUAGCAACCCCACUUUCAUUACACAGUUUAUCAAAAACGCAUGAUCGAUCUCGGAGAAUUUAUGGGACAAGGCUUAGUGGGGUGGUUGUUGUAUCAAAUGGUGUAAAAUUAAUCUCGUAAAUAUUUACGUGGAUAGUUUUUGUUGAUAUAUAUACAUUGAAGUCUUUGAUAAUA